rnacentral:rRNA from 1 species
GACGAACGCUGGCGGCGUGCCUAAUACAUGCAAGUGGGACGCAAGGGAACACACUGUGCUUGCACACCGUGUUUUCUUGAGUCGCGAACGGGUGAGUAACGCGUAGGUAACCUGCCUAUUAGCGGGGGAUAACUAUUGGAAACGAUAGCUAAUACCGCAUAAUAUUAAUUAUUGCAUGAUAAUUGAUUGAAAGAUGCAAGCGCAUCACUAGUAGAUGGACCUGCGUUGUAUUAGCUAGUUGGUAAGGUAAGAGCUUACCAAGGCGACGAUACAUAGCCGACCUGAGAGGGUGAUCGGCCACACUGGGACUGAGACACGGCCCAGACUCCUACGGGAGGCAGCAGUAGGGAAUCUUCGGCAAUGGACGAAAGUCUGACCGAGCAACGCCGCGAGAGUGAAGAAGGUUUUCGGAUCGUAAAGCUCUGUUGUAAGUCAAGAACGUGUGUGAGAGUGGAAAGUUCACACAGUG